AGAGUUUGAUCCUGGCUCAGGACGAACGCUGGCGGCGUGCUUAACACAUGCAAGUCAAGGGGAAAGUACACUUCGGUGUAUGAUUAUACUGGCGAACGGGUGCGUAACGCGUGGGCAACCUGCCUUAAGGCCGGGGAUAACCUUGGGAAACCGGGGCUAAUACCGGAUAUGUCAUGAACUCACUUGGGUUUAUGAUGAAAUGAUGCAACUGCAUUGCCUUAAGAUGAGCCCGCGUCCCAUUAGGUAGUUGGUAGGGUAGUGGCCUACCAAGCCGACGAUGGGUAGCUGAUCUGAGAGGAUGAUCAGCCACACUGGGACUGAGAUACGGCCCAGACUCCUACGGGAGGCAGCAGUGAGGAAUAUUGCGCAAUGGACGAAAGUCUGACGCAGCAACGCCGCGUGGGUGAAGACGCUUUUCGGAGUGUAAAGCCCUGUCAGGUGGGAAGAGAGGCAGAACGAGUGGAAAGCGUUUUGCACGGGACGGUACCACCAGAGGAAGCUCCGGCUAACUCCGUGCCAGCAGCCGCGGUAAUACGGGGGGAGCAAGCGUUGUCCGGAAUCAUUGGGCGUAAAGGGCGCGUAGGCGGAAGAGUCAGUCAGAUGUGAAAUGUCCCGGCUUAACCGGGGAGUUGCAUUUGAAACUGCUUUUCUUGAGUGUCGUAGGGGAUGAUGGAAUUCCAGGUGUAGCGGUGAAAUGCGUAGAGAUCUGGAAGAACACCGGUGGCGAAGGCGGUCAUCUGGACGAAUACUGACGCUGAGGCGCGAAAGUGUGGGUAGCAAACAGGAUUAGAUACCCUGGUAGUCCACACAGUAAACGUUGGGCACUAGACGUUGGUCCCGCUCGGGAUCGGUGUCGUCGCAAACGCAUUAAGUGCCCCGCCUGGGGAGUACGAUCGCAAGGUUGAAACUCAAAGGAAUUGACGGGGGCCCGCACAAGCGGUGGAGCAUGUGGUUUAAUUCGAUGCAACGCGCAGAACCUUACCGGGGCUUGACAUGAUAGUGGCGCGGGUAGAGAUAUCCGUUUCCUUCGGGACACUAUCACAGGCGCUGCAUGGCUGUCGUCAGCUCGUGUCGUGAGAUGUUCGGUUAAGUCCGGCAACGAGCGCAACCCUUGUCCUUAGUUACCAUCGGGUCAUGCCGGGGACUCUAAGGAGACUGUUGGUGACAAACCAAAGGAAGGUGGGGAUGACGUCAAGUCCUCAUGGCCCUUACGUCCCGGGCCACACACGUGCUACAAUGGUCGGUACAACGAGGAGCGAACUCGCGAGAGUAAGCGAACCUGGAAAAACCGAUCUCAGUUCGGAUUGUAGUCUGCAACUCGACUGCAUGAAGUUGGAAUCGCUAGUAAUCGCAGAUCAGCACGCUGCGGUGAAUACGUUCCCGGGCCUUGUAUACACCGCCCGUCACGCCAUGGGAGCCGGUAGCGCCCGAAGCGUCUCCGUAAAGGGGAUUCGAAGGUGAGACUGGUGACUGGGGCGAAGUCGUAACAAGGUA
rnacentral:rRNA from 1 species